CGUAGGUGGCCUGACAUGUCAACUGUGAAAACCCGGAGCUCAACUCCGGACUUGCAGUUGAAACUGCCAGGCUUGAGGACGGUAGAGGAAGACGGAACURCCAGUGUAGGGGUAAAAUCCUUAGAUAUUGGCAGGAACGCCGGUGACGAAGGUGGUUUUCUGGGCCGGUUCUGACACUGAUGCUCGAAAGCCAGGGGAGCGAACGGGAUUAGAUACCCCGGUAGUCCUGGCCCUAAACGAUGUUCACUAGGUGUGGGGAGCGGAAAGCUUUCCGUGCUAAAGCUAACGCAAUAAGUGAACCGCCUGGGGAGUACGCCCGCAAGGGUGAAACUCAAAGGAAUUGACGGGGGCCCGCACAAGCGGUGGAGCGUGUGGUUUAAUUCGAUGCUAAGCGAAGGACCUUACCAAGGUUUGACAUGCUGAUAGUAGUGA
rnacentral:rRNA from 1 species